rnacentral:lncRNA from 1 species
AGUUAAGGAGGCAGUAAAUAGAUAACAUUGUCGGGGGCUGCUAUAACAAAUUGCCACUCAAGUGGGUGGCUUAAAACAAUAGGAAUUUCAUCUCUGAAAUCAAGCUGUUGGUACAGCUGCAUUGUCCCCAGAGGCCCUGGACAUGAAUUCAUUCUUGGCUUUUCCACCUUCUGCUGCUGUCAGCAUUCCCUUCCUCGUGACCACUCCAUUGACCGUUUCUAUGAUCACACAGUCUUCUCUUAUUCUGUCAAAACUCCCUCUGCUUCAGUUUAUAAGGAUGUCAAGUGGCUUUACCCACCAAGAUAAUCAGGGCUGUGCAGUAUCUGAGGAUGGCCAUGAAUCCAGUGCCGUGAAAAUGUUAUGCAGUUGAUGGAUCAAGUCUAGGAGACUGAAUGAAGUCCAUCAUGCUUCCUCAACACAUAGGGAUUGCUUCACAACCAGAAAGAGCUCUUAAUUUUGCAGGGAACUAUGGCUGACAAAAGGAUCUAGAUAUUGAAGGUGUGAGGCAUUUUAUCUCAGGUACGGAAAGGUGACUAAUAGAGGGUAGAAUUAACCAUCAUCAACAAUAUAAAAAAAUCAAUGAGGUAUG